GGUUAAGCGACUAAGCGUACACGGUGGAUGCCCUGGCAGUCAGAGGCGAUGAAGGACGUGCUAAUCUGCGAAAAGCGUCGGUAAGGUGAUAUGAACCGUUACAGCCGGCGAUGUCCGAAUGGGGAAACCCAGUGCAAUUCGUUGCACUAUCGUUAACUGAAUACAUAGGUUAACGAGGCGAACCGGGGGAACUGAAACAUCUAAGUACCCCGAGGAAAAGAAAUCAACCGAGAUUCCCCCAGUAGCGGCGAGCGAACGGGGAGCAGCCCGGAGUCUGAAUCAGCUUGUGUGUUAGUGGAAGCGUCUGGAAAGUCGCAGGGUACAGGGUGAUACUCCCGUACACUAAAACACACAGGUUGUGAACUCGAAGAGUAGGGCGGGACACGUGGUAUCCUGUCUGAAUAUGGGGGGACCAUCCUCCAAGGCUAAAUACUCCUGACUGACCGAUAGUGAACCAGUACCGUGAGGGAAAGGCGAAAAGAACCCCGGCGAGGGGAGUGAAAAAGAACCUGAAACCGUGUACGUACAAGCAGUAGGAGCCCACUGGUUGGGUGACUGCGUACCUUUUGUAUAAUGGGUCAGCGACUUAUAUUCUGUAGCAAGGUUAACCGUAUAGGGGAGCCGCAGGGAAACCGAGUCUUAACUGGGCGUUAAGUUGCAGGGUAUAGACCCGAAACCCGGUGAUCUAGCCAUGGGCAGGUUGAAGGUUGGGUAACACUAACUGGAGGACCGAACCGACUAAUGUUGAAAAAUUAGCGGAUGACUUGUGGCUGGGGGUGAAAGGCCAAUCAAACCGGGAGAUAGCUGGUUCUCCCCGAAAGCUAUUUAGGUAGCGCCUCGUGAACUCAUCUUCGGGGGUAGAGCACUGUUUCGGCUAGGGGGUCAUCCCGACUUACCAACCCGAUGCAAACUACGAAUACCGAAGAAUGUUAUCACGGGAGACACACGGCGGGUGCUAACGUCCGUCGUGAAGAGGGAAACAACCCAGACCGCCAGCUAAGGUCCCAAAGUCAUGGUUAAGUGGGAAACGAUGUGGGAAGGCCCAGACAGCCAGGAUGUUGGCUUAGAAGCAGCCAUCAUUUAAAGAAAGCGUAAUAGCUCACUGGUCGAGUCGGCCUGCGCGGAAGAUGUAACGGGGCUAAACCAUGCACCGAAGCUGCGGCAGCGACACUAUGUGUUGUUGGGUAGGGGAGCGUUCUGUAAGCCGUUGAAGGUGGCCUGUGAGGGUUGCUGGAGGUAUCAGAAGUGCGAAUGCUGACAUAAGUAACGAUAAUGCGGGUGAAAAACCCGCACGCCGGAAGACCAAGGGUUCCUGUCCAACGUUAAUCGGGGCAGGGUGAGUCGACCCCUAAGGCGAGGCCGAAAGGCGUAGUCGAUGGGAAACAGGUUAAUAUUCCUGUACUCGGUGUUACUGCGAAGGGGGGACGGAGAAGGCUAUGUUGGCCGGGCGACGGUUGUCCCGGUUUAAGCAUGUAGGCGGAUGUUCCAGGUAAAUCCGGAACGUCACUAACGCUGAGGUGUGAUGACGAGGCACUACGGUGCUGAAGUGACAAAUGCCCUGCUUCCAGGAAAAGCCUCUAAGCAUCAGGUAACAUCAAAUCGUACCCCAAACCGACACAGGUGGUCAGGUAGAGAAUACCAAGGCGCUUGAGAGAACUCGGGUGAAGGAACUAGGCAAAAUGGUGCCGUAACUUCGGGAGAAGGCACGCUGAUGGUA
rnacentral:rRNA from 1 species